UUAGCCACCAUGCAUGUUCUUUUUUUUGUUUGGCAUCAAUUAUGCAUAUUUUGGUUUUAUUGGGUUGCAUUGCAUUACUCUACUAUUUACCAGUAUUCUGUGGAUGUAAUAAUUCUUUUGUUUUGUUACCGCUUUCAUUUGCCGUUAUUUUAAUCGAAAAUAUCAGUAAAUGCAUAGAACAUCGCAAUAAUAAUACAAAUACAUGGUUUUGUGCAUCACCAAAAAAUAAUAAUCCAGCAAUGUUGUUUAGGUAUCUAAUGGAAUUAUGGAAGACUUUAAAGUUCGAACACUCAAGAGAUUAAUUAACUCUUCAUGCGGUUCCCUUCUCUUGGACGUAGUGUGAAUUGUUAUAAUCAAAUCUUUGCCGAACGGAAUGUUAUCUCAGCUCGUCGCCAAAGGAAGCAUUUUGGAAACUUAAAGCAACUUCGGAUUAGAUGAGUCUUCUUUAUUGUGUUUCAC
rnacentral:lncRNA from 1 species